rnacentral:sRNA from 1 species
UGUUGUAUGUAUUAUUGCUACUGUACUUUUUAUUCUUCUGUCCUAAAGUGUCUCGAAAUUGAGUGAUUAAACUUCUUGUAUUACUCCAAUGAAAUUUCAAUAUUUGUAUUUGUUUUAUAGUCUUUCUACAAUGGGGAUCAACACAUAAUGUCGUAGAUUCUGUCAAUAGUAUAAUGUAGUAUGUUUAUGUUGUUCUUUUUUAUCUAGUUCUUCAACAUUAAUAAAGAUCCCUGAUACGAAUACAGAAAGGUAAAAUUAAAUCUUAUAAACAAGUAGAAAUCUGCAUCAAUUGGUGUAAAUUAAUUUUUUAUUUUUAUCUUUUUUUCCCCUUCACAAUACUUUAUAAAUUCUUCACAAAAAACUUCUUUCUUUGUAAUUUUUUCUUUAAAUUUUUGCAUUUUAUUUUCAUUUAGUUUUUGAUAAAAUAUACUGUAGAAAUUUACAAUAUUUGUUCUCCAGUGGCGCUCAAAUCGAAGAAAAAAAACAAGCUAAAGCACUGACAAAAUAUGCCUUUCAACAAGAAGCUGAAAUCAUAAAUACACCCCUUUCUUCUCUUCAAAACACACGACACAAAGAAACUAAAGUUAUUCAAGAGAGCACCAUGAAAAGGAAACGGCCAGCUGCAACUGAAAAAGAUAAAAAGAAAAACCAAUAAUCUUAAAAUUUUAAAUGUUAUAGACCCAUUGUCAGUAUAAUA